GACAGAGGUGCCAAGCGUUAGGCGGAAUCACUGGGCUUAAAGCGUGUGUAGGCGGAUUGGUAAGUACCUUGUGAAAUCCCACGGCUCACCCGUGGAACUGCUGGGCAUACUGGGCGUCUUGGGCCAACUAGGGGCAGCCGGAACAAGCGGUGGAGCGGUGAAAUGCGUAGAUAUCGCUUGGAACGCCGAAGGUGAAAACAGGCUGCUGGGGUUGCGCCGACGCUGAGACACGAAAGCCAGGGGAGCAAACGGG
rnacentral:rRNA from 1 species